AAAUACCCUCAUUUAUUGGGGCUCCUCUCCUCUAUAAAUAGGGGUUGUCUCAUCAGACAAAGGAUUCCGAUGUACGGAUAACGGAGCUCAGGCGUACCUUCUUGGGGCCCAUAUCAAGUUUCUCAGCACACAUCAACACUUGUGAUCACCCUCAAUUUUUUAGCAGAAACAGUAUUGCAUAUCUUUAAAUGAGUUCUGCAUAGUACAAAUAAAACUGAAUUUUAUAAAGAAGUUACCUGGACAUCAUAAAAUUUAAUGUAGAAUCUGGAGGUAUCAAUAGAUAGCUUAGUUUGGAGAAUUUCUGCAAUAAGUGAACUUAAUUUGCCAUUAACAGUGGGGCCAAGUCCACCAAUGGAGAUCAAUUCUCCAUAUGCAGCUGCUUCUUCAGUCCCCGCAAAUGCAAUUGGAACUCCUCCAUUUAUCAACAC